UGGCCUUUCAGGUAAAAGAAAAUGCUUGGAGUUAACUCACGGGCCGUAAUGUGGCAGGCACAGCGUGAGGCUGGCUUCACAGAGCAGCGACAACUGCCCACUUCCAACGGUGAAAGGAUAACG
rnacentral:SRP_RNA from 1 species